rnacentral:rRNA from 1 species
GGAUAACACUUAGAAAUAGGUGCUAAUACCGCAUGAGCGCACAGGACCGCAUGGUCGAGUGUGAAAAACUGAGGUGGUGUAAGAUGGACCCGCGUCUGAUUAGCUAGUUGGUGAGGUAACGGCCCACCAAGGCGACGAUCAGUAGCCGGCCUGAGAGGGUGGACGGCCACAUUGGGACUGAGACACGGCCCAAACUCCUACGGGAGGCAGCAGUGGGGGAUAUUGGACAAUGGGGGGAACCCUGAUCCAGCGACGCCGCGUGAGUGAAGAAGUAUCUCGGUAUGUAAAGCUCUAUCAGCAGGGAAGAAGAAAUGACGGUACCUGAGUAAGAAGCCCCGGCUAACUACGUGCCAGCAGCCGCGGUGAUACGUAGGGGGCAAGCGUUAUCCGGAAUUACUGGGUGUAAAGGGAGCGUAGACGGUGAUGUAAGUCUGGAGUGAAAGGCGGGGGCCCAACCCCCGGACUGCUCUGGAAACUAUGUGGCUGGAGUGCAGGAGAGGUGAGCGGAAUUCCUAGUGUAGCGGUGAAAUGCGUAGAUAUUAGGAGGAACACCAGUGGCGAAGGCGGCUCACUGGACUGUAACUGACGUUGAGGCUCGAAAGCGUGGGGAGCAAACAGGAUUAGAUACCCUGGUAGUCCACGCCGUAAACGAUGAUCACUAGGUGUGGGUGGGUAUGGACCCAUCGGUGCCGCAG